UGGUGAACUGUCAGCUGGACUCAGGAAACAAGGCCGACCAAAGAAAAGCUUCAAGGAUCAGCUCAAGUCCAACUUGAAGUGGGCUGGCAUGACACCAAAGCAACUAGAACUCACUGCCUCUGACAGAAGCAGCUGGCGAACCCACAUUCAGCAUGCCGCCACCACCUUUGAAGAUGAGCGACGUCGAUGUCUUGCUGCUGCGCGUGAACGCCGACACCAGGCCACAACCGCACCUCCCGUAACAACUGGCGUCCCAGGCCCCAUGUGCCACAGGCUCUGCGGCUCAGCCUUUGGACUCCAAAGCCACAUGAGGCAAGAAGAGGGGCUGCAGGAGAAUCAGAGAUAUAGCAGAAACGAAGAUUUAAGAUUGAGAAGAAUAAAAGAGGAGUCUCAAAACAAUGAAGAGCAAUCCCAAGGGAGAAGAGGUACAACUACAUGUUCCAGGUUAAUCCCUUACUUGAUGUCAAUAAUCAGUGGGUCAAUGAAUAGUUUAUCUACUAUACCUGUCAUUUUUUAAUGAUCUCUAUUCAUGCAUGGAAUACAUAGAGUCAAAUCAAGGUAAAUUAUAAUUAGAUAAAUAAAGUUGUUUUUUUUUUAACUCA
rnacentral:lncRNA from 1 species